UACGUAGGUGGCAAGCGUUGUCCGGAUUUAUUGGGUUUAAAGGGUGCGUAGGCGGCCCUGUAAGUCAGUGGUGAAAUACUCUAGCUUAACUAGAGGGGUGCCAUUGAUACUUCAGGGCUUGAGUACAGACGAGGUAGGCGGAAUUGACGGUGUAGCGGUGAAAUGCAUAGAUAUCGUCAAGAACUCCGAUAGUGAAGACAGCUUACUAGGCUGUAACUGACGCUGAGGCACGAAAGUGUGGGGAUCAAACAGG
rnacentral:rRNA from 1 species